UCCCGGUUGGCCCGGGCGGUCUCGCGUGAAAAAUACAACACACGAUAAGGGUUGCGCUCGUUGCGGGACUUAACCCAACAUCUCACGACACGAGCUGACGACGGCCAUGCAACAUCUGUCACUGGUCCAGCCGGACUGACGACUUAGUUUCUUAAGUCUACGACCAGGAUGUCAAGCCUUGGUAAGGUUCUUCGCGUAGCAUCGAAUUAAACCACAUGCUCCACUGCUUGUGCGGAGCCCCGUCAAUUCCUUUGAGUUUUAAUCUUGCGAUCGUACUCCCCAGGCGGCACACUUAACGCGUUAGCUUCCCAGCACAAAGGGUCGAUACUUCAUACUAGUAGUGUGCAUCGUUUACGGCGUGGACUAC
rnacentral:misc_RNA from 1 species